rnacentral:rRNA from 1 species
CCUACGGGAGGCAGCAGUGGGGAAUAUUGGGCAAUGGGCGCAAGCCUGACCCAGCAACGCCGCGUGAAGGAAGACGGCUUUCUGGUUGUAAACUUCUUUUCUCAGGGACGAAGAAAGUGACGGUACCUGAGGAAUAAGCCACGGCUAACUACGUGCCAGCAGCCGCGGUAAUCCGGAGGGGGCAAGCGUUAUCCGGAUUUAUUGGGUGUAAAGGGCGUGUAGGCGGGAGCGAAAGUUAGAGGUGAAAACUCAGGGCUCAACGCUGGGCCUGCCUUUGAUACUGUGUUUCUUGAGUGUUGGGGAGGUAGACGGAAUGCAUGGUGUAGCGGUGAAAUGCGUAGAGAU